UACGUAGGGUGCAAGCGUUGUCCGGAAUUAUUGGGCGUAAAGAGCGUGUAGGCGGCCCGACAAGUCCGCUGUGAAAGUCCAGGGCUCAACCCUGGAAUGCCGGUGGAUACUGUCGGGCUAGAGUCCGGAAGGGGCGAGUGGAAUUCCUGGUGUAGCAGUGAAAUGCGCAGAUAUCAGGAGGAACACCAAUGGCGAAGGCAGCUCGCUGGGACGUGACUGACGCUGAGGCACGAAAGCUAGGGGAGCAAACAGG
rnacentral:rRNA from 1 species